UCCUCCUUAGCUCAGUUGGUUAGAGCACAUGACUGUUAAUCAUGGGGUCUCAGGUUCAAGUCCUGAAGGGGGAGCAA
rnacentral:tRNA from 1 species